GAUGAACGCUGGCGGCGUGCCUAAUACAUGCAAGUCGCGCGAAGCGGGGACGGGUGAGUAACACGUGGAUCACCUCCUAUAAGACUGGGAUAACUUCGGGAAACAGGAGCUAAACCGGAUACCUAUAGAUGGACCCGCGCUGCAUUGGCUAGUUGGUAAGGUAACGGCUUACCAAGGCAACUAUGCAUAGCCGACCGGAGAGGGUGAUCGGCUACUCGGGAACGUAGACGAGGCCCGGACUCCUCCGGGAGUCAGCAGUAGGGAAUCUUGCGCAAUGGUCGAAAUCCGUACGGAGCAACGCCGCGUGAGUAAUGAAGUUUUGCGGAUCGUAAAACUCUGUUAUUAGUGAAGCGGUACCUAAUCAGAGAGCCACGACUAACUACGAGCCAGCAGCCGCGGUAAUUC
rnacentral:rRNA from 1 species